CCUCUGCUUAAAAACCUCCAAGGAAGGAGAGUCCGCCAUCUCCCAAGGGAUUCUGCUGCUCUUCCCGUCAGAAUGUUCUUCCUGCUGUUUAGGCAGCAGAAACUGCUUUCUGGUCCUCUGGGUCCCUUAUUCUGGGUGCUCCCCUCUAGGGCAGGAGAAAACAAGCUGGCUCCCUCUUCCAUGGGUCAGCCCUCCAGAUAUUGAGAGGUGGCUCUCAGGUCUCCAUCCAGGCAGGUCUCAGCUGAGGGAGGAACAGGAAGACACGCUGUGCCUGCCUCUCCUGGGACUACACAUUGCUGAGCUGCAAAAUGCAGGAAAGUGCACAUUUUGAAGGCUUUGGGUACGUUUUGUUAAUGGAGAAAUCUGAGGGCUCCCUUGGACAAAAAACAAGGACACCAGCCAGGAAUACCAGAGCAAAACAGCGGCCAGUUGGCUUGGUCUCUCUUGAAGACUGUCGUGGCAGGACUCCCACCUGACACCAGGUGGAACAAGAUGGAAGCCCCAAACAAAAGAGAACCCAAACUUUUAUUAGCUGCUAAUCCCCACGUUACACCCCCCAAACUACAUCACUCAUACAUCAUGAAAGGGGAGGUCUGGUGGCAGUAAUCUGAGCAUCCUGGACCCUGCCCCAUGGUUCCCCUUGCCUUCCAUCAAACACCCAUGGAAUAUAACCUGACCCUUUUGUCUUCGUCUUGGUUUGUUAUUUCUGGAAUUGCUACCUGUCUGGCACUCAGGUAUCAGGAUGCCAGAAAUCACCACUGAAGCAGAGGGGCUGCUGAGUAGCUGAGCUCACAUGUCUAUAUGAAUUUCUGAAGUUUUCCCAGUGAGCCAGUACAUAGAUACCUUUAUCAGUGAAUUCUUACAUUUGGUAUUGUGCAGCAGAGGCCCUUUGAGCAGAUAGGAAGAAACUGUGAUGAAGUGUUUUGUUGGGACCAGUCAAAAAAGUCACAAAAGUGAUGGUGCUGAUUUUGGUAGUGGGCUGCAUGUGCAUGAUAUCUGCUGCAGGGGCAACCCCCCCCCCAAAAAAACCUAUACAUAAAUUCCUGCAACAGUUUGCCUUCCAAUCUCCGGCUAUACCUCUUGGCUCAUCCUCCAAACUUUGCUGGGGGGCUGUGUUCCCCCUCCCAAAGCAGGGACACACUCUUAGCACCUGAACGCUGUACCACCUCAUUGCUGCUGCCGGGGGUGAGAGGGUUUAUAUAGUGGCGGGUGAUGCCCUUUGGGAAUAUUUGGCCAAUUAAGUGAGGCGGGGAAUCCCUCAAGGGGCGGAGCAGCAGCUGAUUUGCUACCUGUGCUAUGACACCUUCCUCUCAGCUGAGCAGGUGCCCUGGGGGGACCUCAGAUACUACUACUACUAAAUAAAUAAAUACUACUACUACUACUACUACUACUACCUCCGCAGCACUAUAAGUUCCUUGUUUGAUUGUGUUUUCAUGUUAUAAAGGGCUCUGAGUUCCGCAUUCUGGAGUGCCAAGUCUUUUUAAGAGAACUGCUGUGGAGCUGAGAUGAAGGAGGAGAGACCGUUUCCUCUCCACCCAGCAGAGCUGUGGAACUCCAGGAAGACACAACCUGAAAGACAGUGCGCUAUUUUAUUAAAAAAAAUUAUAACUCCUGCUUAUGUUAUAUGAUGUUAUAAUGUAUUGUAAUUUUCAUAAAAUGUAUAGACUGCUUGAUUGUAAAAACACACACAAACUCUUUCAAAAUGUUUAUUAAAAAUAUUUUUAUUAGUAAUUUCAACAUAACAUUUUAUCAAAUAACAUAUCAUCCUUAAAUUUCCCCCCUUAUUUUUCCCCUCUCCAAAAAACCUGACCCACCCUCCCCUCCCCCUCAGCCUUCCCUCAGCUCCCCUCUCUGGAUUAUCAACAUAUGUUAUUUUCUGCAUGUUACAAUACUGUACAGAUUUUUAAUUUUCUAUCUAAAUGUUAUCAAUAAAAAGUUUGUAAAAGUUUAUUCAAAACCUGCCAAGGAGUCCAGUUCAUUUUGUUGCUUCUUUAUGUACUUUGUAAAGGGUUCCCAUUCAUCUUUAAAAUCACAGUUAUCCUUGUCACGUAGUUUGUGUCUCAAUUUUGCCAAUUCUGCGUAAUCCAUCAAUUUUUCCAUCAAUCCCUAACAAAAAUGCCUUAGGUUUUUAAACAAAUUUUAAUUGGAACAUUUUCUUCAACUCACUAUAUAUCAUUUCCCCAAACUUUUUGAUUUCAUUACAAUCCCACCACAUAUAGUAAAAAGUCCUGUCUCUUUCGUUACACUUCCAAAACAUAUUUGAGCUGGUUUUGUUAAUUCUUCCUAACUGCACUGGUGUCAUAUAGCAUCUAUACAUCAUCUUCAUAUAAUUUUCUUUCAGCAAGGAACACUCUGUGAAUUUUAAAUCGGUUUUCCAUAACCUUUCCCAAUCUUCCACAAUAAUAUUAUGACCCAUAUCUUGUGCCCAUUUAAUCAUAACUGAUUUCACCUCUUCGUCUUUCGUCUCCCAUUCUAACAGAAUACCGUAUGUGCCUUUCAGCAGUUGGAAUCUAAGUCUCUCCUGUAUUUGUCAAAGGACUCUCUGAAAUUCUGAUAUUAGCCUGUAUCUCCUUUUCGUGUAUGUAAAGGAAAUGCCCUCUGGGAAUUCCCAUUUAUAUCUGAUGUCAGCUCUUCUGAGUGCUAUUGUUAAAUAUCUAUAUUUGGUUCUUCUAAGUCUCAAUUUCAGUGGAAUCUCUCUAAAGAUAUCUACUUUCUGUCCGGAAAGCACAAGAUUUUUUUCAAAAACUGUUCUGAAGGAUUGCAUCCUUCACUCUUUUUGUUACUACUGUUAAUCAAACAUCUCCUGGCUGCCUCCGUUCUCAAUUUUCACGCGAUCUAAUUCUGAAACAGCUCUCUGAAAGCCCAUCCAACCAAUCUUUGCUUUCUCCCAUCCAUUCUGAAAUUGUCUGUGUGACAUAUGUCUCCAAAUUUGGCUCUGAAUCAGAUUCUGGAAGGCCUCUGUCAGGUAGACGUUAACUUAUUACUUCAGCUAAAUGUCACAGGAUUAAACAAGGUACUACAGUGGUACCUUGCGUUACAAACGCUUCAGGUUACAUACGUUUCAGGUUACAGACUCUGCUACCACAGAAAUAGUGAGCGAGGGGCCACUUUUCCUUGGUUCCCCUCUCUCUUAGCAGUCCCUCUCCCUAGGUAUUUUCCUUUGUAUGCCAGACCCAGGGGAUCGUCUGAGUCCUAUUUACUGACUCAGAAAUCUCCUUUUCCUAGAAAAUCUCUCCCCUCCCAAAUGGAAGGAGACCCCAGAAGAAGAGUCUUCCCACAGCUUCUAUUCCAGAUUAAGUCCCAUCUGAACACUCUCUCCAGACCCUCAACAUGGUCUUCCUAUCUCAGCUAUGACUGUUAAUAGAGGAUGAGCUGCCUCACUUCAUGAAAUUUAAACCUCGCUCCUUCAAAGUAUUAGAGUUCAAAGACUGUGAUAAAAAUGAAAGAAGAGCAAAGGGAGAACAAUAUCGUGGUUCUCAAAUGAUGGAUAACAUAGGUUACUACAGGAGAAAGAAAAUAAAAUGAUAAUUAUUAUUAAUAUUUAUUAUUUAUACCUCGCCCAUCUGGCUGGGCUUCCCCAGCCACUCUGGGCGGCUUCAAAUAAAAUAUUAAAAUACUAAUACAUCAAAAAUUAAAAGCUUUUCUAACCAUGGCUGCUUUCAAAUGCCUUCUAAAAGUCUGGUAGUUGUUGUUCUCUUUGACAUCUGGUGGGAGGGCAUUCCACAGGGAGGGCGCCACUACUGAGAAGGCCCUCUUGCUGGUUCCUUGUAACUUAGCUUCUCGCAGUGAGGUAACCUCCAGAAGGCCCUCGGUGCUGGACCUCAGUGUCUGGGUAGAACUUCAAAGGUAGCCCCAUGUAGAGCGCAUUGCAGCAGUCCAAGUGGGAGAUGAGCAGAGCAUGCACCAAUCUGGCGAGGCGGUCCGCAGGCAGAUAGGGUUUCAGCCUGCGUACCAGAUGGAGCUGGUAAACAGCUGCCCUGGACACAGAUUUGACCUGUGCCUCCAUGGACCGCUGUGAGUCCAAAAUGACUCCCAGGCUGCGCACCUGGUCCUUCAGGGGCACAGUUACCCCAUUCAGGACCAGGGAGUCCUCCAUACCUGCCCCCUCCUGUCCCCCAAAACAGUACUUCUGUCUUGUCAGGAUUCAACCUCAAUCUGUUAGCUGCCAUUCAUCCUCCAACCACCUCGAGACACUCACACAAGACCUUCACCGCCUUCACUGGUUCUGAUUUGAAAGAGAGGUAGAGCUGGGUAUCAUCCGCAUAGUGAUGAACACCAAGUCCAAACCCCCUGAUGAUCUCUCCCAGCAGCUGCAUGUAGAUGUU